rnacentral:tRNA from 1 species
AAGGAUUUAAGUUAAAUAAACUCUCAACCUUCAAAGUUGGAAAUACCCCCAAUUUGUAAGCCUUA